UACGGAGGGGGUUAGCGUUGUUCGGAAUUACUGGGCGUAAAGCGCACGUAGGCGGAUUAGUCAGUCAGAGGUGAAAUCCCAGGGCUCAACCUGGAACUGCCUUUGAUACUGCUAGUCUUGAGUUCGAGAGAGGUGAGUGGAAUUCCGAGUGUAGAGGUGAAAUUCGUAGAUAUUCGGAGGAACACCAGUGGCGAAGGCGGCUCACUGGCUCGAUACUGACGCUGAGGUGCGAAAGUGU
rnacentral:rRNA from 1 species